rnacentral:rRNA from 1 species
UACAGAGGUCUCAAGCGUUGUUCGGAAUUACUGGGCGUAAAGGGCUCGUAGGCGGCCAACUAAGUCGGACGUGAAAUCCCUCAGCUUAACUGGGGAACUGCGUCCGAUACUGGAUGGCUUGGAUUGGGAGAGGGAUGCGGAAUUCCAGGUGUAGCGGUGAAAUGCGUAGAUAUCUGGAGGAACACCGGUGGCGAAGGCGGCAUCCUGGACCAAUAUUGACGCUGAGGAGCGAAAAGCUAGGGGAGCAAACGGG